UAACUUAAUAUUCAGCUAUAAUUAGGUGGAAAUAAUAGUUAUAUAAUAAUAAAAAAUUUAUUGAUUUAUUUUUCUUUAAAGUAGUUUUUGUUGAUUUAUUUUGUAAUUUUGUUUUUAUUGAUUUUUAACAAAGAAAUUUUAAAAUUAUUUUGCUUUUAGAAAAUUCUAUACUAAAUAAAUAAUAAGUAUAGAAUUCCAGUCAGAUCCAGUUCAUGUUGCAGCUAGUGAUGUUUCAUUGGAUCAUCAUUUUGCUAUGAAUUAAAUUAUUGUGGAUGGUAAACGAUUUUAUGCCUCUUUGCUCUUUAUGGUAUUGAAUCAGGCACUGAAUUGCACUAUGAUUAUCAUGAUAAUAAAAGUGUAUGGUGGAGAAAGCAGACAUUUGAAAUCGAAUCUUAAAUAUGUUGAAUGCUGGUAAGAAUGGUCAAGAAUCUUCCCUAUUAUCAAUGAAGAAAAGAAUUAUAUAAAUUUUUUAACUGCUUCAAGCUGGAAUUUGAGCAAAAAUUUGGGAACCCAUCUGCUAUAUUAGUGUCAAAAUAGGCCUGUUUAGGCCCUGAAUAUGUCAUAAAGAGGGUUUAACUUCUUGUAAAACUAAACUAUAUAAAUACAUAAAUAAAAUUUAUAAAAUGAUAUUACUUAAUAAUCUCUGGGAUCUUUAUUUAUGAUAUACUUUAUCUAAAUAUAACAAAUAACAACUGAAAUAUUUUGAGUUUUUCUUACAGGUUUCUACCCAGAAACCUGUUAUACUUUCUGUUAUUUUAUCUAAAAAUUUAUUUUUUAAAUCAAGUUUUUUAGAAUUUAAUCUGUUUUAUUUAACAAUAUUGCAGUGCUUAAUUAAACUUUCUUCAUUAAGGUUGAAAAAAAUUUAUUUUUUAUUUUUUUCUGUUUAGUAAUGAAAAAGAUCAUUAAAAACAAUUAAGAUCAACUUAAAAAAAAAAUUAUUUAGCACAAAAUGUAUAAAACAUCCUUAUACCUUCCUAAUUUUUAAUAAAAAUCUAACAAAACAUAUGGGCGAUUUAUUUGUUUGUCUAACUUGCUUAUACUUUCCUACUUUUUUUUCCAAUAUUUUUACUCAACAUGCAAUAAAAUGUUUGUAAGUUGCUUUAUUUGUAAGUUGCUUAGUAAAAUAAUAAUGUAUUUGUUUAUGUUUUGGCGUUUCAUUUCAGUUGUAGUUGAUACACUGCAGUUCUCUUGCAAGCUGAGUUUUCCAACUUUGCAGCUGAUGCGCAGAGCUUCUAUUACAUCAUCAAUAUAAUCAUAAUUGCCAUCAUCAUCAUCAUCAUAGUUCUCAAUAAUUUUCUUAACUUGUAGAAACUCUACUCUGAUGUGUUUGCCUUAUAUGCUACACUAGCUAGUUUAGAUGUAUCUAUGGUAACAAUAUGUUAUAAUAUAAUAAUUGUAUUUAUCUUAGCAAAAUGUUAACAACCUAUUAUCAUAAAUAUUGUUACAACAACAUAGAUUAUCAAAAAAUGUUAUCAAAACAUCAUUUAUGUUAUCUAAGGUACAAAGUUAACUUUUACCUUGAAAAAGCCAUCUAUUUUUUUCAUGCUAUUCUAAGUUAAUUUAUGUUUUUUGUUCAUGUUGUUUUAUUCUGUUUGAGAUCCAUUCCAGUUUUUCAAUACUGAAGUCUAAUUUAUUAUUAAGUUAUUUAUUACUUAUUGUUAGGUAUUGUUUCUUUCGCCUGCAAACAAGCAUAAAGUAAAGUUUAAUCAAACAAAAAACAUAUGUAUAAAGUAACUCCUGUUGUAAAAUAACAGUGAAUUCUUUUUAGAUAGAGCUCCUAAAACAAAAGUAACAAAAAAAAGACUAAGCACUAAACCCUGAUGAACACCAUCUUUAUUUUACUUAUUAUACUAUCAUUUCCUCCAUUAUUUGUUUUAAAUUGUACCUCUUUUAAUGCUUUUGACAGCUUUUUAAAGAUAAAAAAAAUCAUACACAGCUAUUUCUAUUCUGAAAAUCUUUUUUAAACUUACAAGAAAUAAUUCUUCUCUUAAAAAUUAAUUAAACAUAGAAUCUAGUUCUUCCUGCUUUAUGGAAGUAAAUGCAUAUUUGAAUACUAAAAGUGUUUGGAAUGUUUUAAUGUGCAGUUGAAGGUAGAAUAUAUUUUGUUAUAGUAAAUUAACAAAAAAACUUUCUUCGUUAAUAUAUUUUAUAUUAUUUUAUUUAUAUUUCUAAAUCUUUUUAUACUAUAGGAAAAUACUAAAAUACUUCUGAAAUACAUCAGGUAUAAACUUAAGUAAAUAUUUUGUUCAAAUAAAAUAUUUGAAUUAUUUUUAAAAAUUCCUAAUUUAAAAAAAUUAAAAAAACAAAAUUACUGGUAAAAAAAAUUUUCUUUAGAAACUUAGUCUGAUAAUGAGUUAAAUUUAUUACCAGUAAUAAAGAUGUUGAAAAUAUAAAUAAGAUUUCUUUAUUUUUUACUUUUACUUUUUGUAUGUAUAAUUUUUAUAGCUUUAAGUGUUUAAGUUUUUUUUAUCAGUUGUUAAUUAAAACUUAUCAUGAAAGGUCAUAAGACAAACUAUAUCUGAAUGUGUUAGCCAGACUGUUAGCACUGUGUAUAAUGCAGACUUCAUCAGUUUACCAAUAUAAACAUAUUGGUGAACUGAUGUAUUUUUAUUUCCAUUAAACUUUAAAAAAACAUUUUUUUAAAUGUACUUAAAUAUAAAAAUCAAUUUUUUUUUUAAUUUUUUAAGCUCUCUAAAUGUAAAUUGGAUCUAUUUUAAUGUUUGGAUUUUUAUAGAAUAGUUUUUAACAUUAAAUAUUUAUUUUUCAAUAUUUUUGCAAUUUAUUUUUAGCACAUACUUGUGCAAUACUAUUGGCCUUUACUUAAAGCAAAUGUUUUUACCAAUUUUUUAAAAUUUAUAAAUUUUUUAUUAUU